CCCUUAGAUGUUCUGGGCCGCACGCGCGCUACACUGAUGCAUUCAACGAGUUUCUUCCUGGUCCGAGAGGAAUGGGUAACCUUUUGAAAGUGCAUCGUGAUAGGGAUAGACUAUUGCAAUUAUUGGUCUUCAACGAGGAAUUCCUAGUAGACGUAGUUCAUCAGACUGCAUCGAUUACGUCCCUGCCCUUUGUACACACCGCCCGUCGCUCCUACCGAUUGAAUGCUCAGGUGAGCCAUUCGGACUUUCAUCAUGCUGGUUUCGAGUUUUGAUGAAGGAAAGUCUUGCGAACCUUAUCAUUUAGAGGAAGGAGAAGUCGUAACA
rnacentral:rRNA from 1 species